rnacentral:tRNA from 1 species
UGGGGGAUCGUCUAAUGGUAGGACUGCGGACUCUGACUCCGCCAAUGGUGGUUCAAAUCCACCUCCCCCAGCCA